GACGAACGCUGGCGGCGUGCUUAACACAUGCAAGUCGAACGGAAAGGCCCUGCUUUUGUGGGGUGCUCGAGUGGCGAACGGGUGAGUAACGCGUGAGUAACCUGCCCUUGACUUUGGGAUAACUUCAGGAAACUGGGGCUAAUACCGGAUAGGAGCUCCUGCUGCAUGGUGGGGGUUGGAAAGUUUCGGCGGUUGGGGCUGGACUCGCGGCUUAUCAGCUUGUUGGUGGGGUAGUGGCUUACCAAGGCUUUGACGGGUAGCCGGCCUGAGAGGGUGACCGGCCACAUUGGGACUGAGAGACGGCCCAGAGUGCGACGGGAGGCAGCAGUGGGGAAUAUUGCACAAUGGGCGGAAGCCUGAUGCAGCAACGCCGCGUGCGGGAUGACGGCCUUCGGGUUGUAGACCGCUUUCGCCUGUGACGAAGCGUGAGUGACGGUAAUGGGUAAAGAAGCACCGGCUAACUACGUG
rnacentral:rRNA from 1 species